UAAAUUGUGAUUCAGGAUGUGUCA
rnacentral:siRNA from 1 species